rnacentral:rRNA from 1 species
GACCUGGCUCAGGAUGAACGCUAGCUACAGGCUUAACACAUGCAAGUCGAGGGGAAACGACAUCGAAAGCUUGCUUUUGAUGGGCGUCGACCGGCGCACGGGUGAGUAACGCGUAUCCAACCUGCCCACCACUUGGGGAUAACCUUGCGAAAGUAAGACUAAUACCCAAUGACAUCCCACGAAGACAUCUGAAUGGGAUUAAAGNUUUAUCGGUGAUGGAUGGGGAUGCGUCUGAUUAGCUUG